rnacentral:lncRNA from 1 species
AAAGUACUGGGAUUACAGGUGUAAGCCACUGCACCCAGCCUGAGAGACCGUAUUAUUUCUAGGCCUGAAGAAGCAAGGGGAGAGAGCAGAUACUGUAACACAGAGUGGGUGGCUGUUUGGAGAUAACUGCCCAACCAGAGCUGAAGCUUCCCAAAGAGAGACCAAAUGAUUCACAAUGACCCAGCAGGCAGGGAGCAAGGAAAUUAACAGUCUUACCUCAUUCUCCUAUCAACCCCAAUCUGCCACCAGGCUUCCCACUGACAGAACCUCAUGGAACCUAGAGGGCAAGGGAUUCAGUAGACACGGUCCAUGCAGGAGAAUGAUAAGGGGAGAGAGUAAGAAAGCAAUGAGAUACACAUGUCUUGACUGCUUCUCUUCAUGCUGAAAUCCUGGGGGAAAGAAGUGCUAAAUCAGUUGAGGACAUGGGAACAUUUAUUCUGGAAGAAAUUUGGGUACAGAGACAGACAAGCACCAAGAGAAGAUGAUGUGAAGAAGCACAGCGAGAACACCAUGUGAAAAUGGAGGACUGGAAUGAAGCAUCUACAAGCCAGGAAAUGUCUGAGGCUACCAGAAGCCAGGAGAGAGGCCUGGAACAGAUCCUGCACUAGAACCUUCAAAGAGAGCAUGGUCCUGCUGACAUGUUGAUUUUGGACUUCUGGCCUCCAGAGCUGUGAGAAUAAAUUUCAG